GACGAACGCUGGCGGCGUGCUUAACACAUACAGGUCGAACGGAAAGGCCCUGCUUUCAUGGUACUCUAGUGGCGAACGGGGGAGUAACACGUGGGAGAUCUGCGCUGUACUUCUUGGUAAGCCUGGGAGACUGGGUCUAAUACCGGGGAUGAGCCAUUUUUAGUGUGGGUGGUGGAAAGUUUUUUCGGUGUAGGAUGAGCUCGCGGCCUAUCAGCUUGUUGGUGUGGUAAUGGCCUACAAAGGCGGCGACGGGUAGCCGGCCUGUGAGGGUGGAAGGCCACACUGGGACUCAGAUACGCGCCAGACACCGCCGGGAGGCAGAAGUGGGGAAUAUAGCACAAUGGGCGCAAGCCUGAUGCAGAGCAGCGGCGUGGGGGAUGACGGGCUUUGGGUUGUAAACUCCGUUCGCUAGGGACGAAGCUUUUUGUGAAGGUGACUAGAUAAGAAGCCACGGCUAAAUACGUG
rnacentral:rRNA from 1 species